rnacentral:rRNA from 1 species
UACGGAGGAUGCAAGCGUUAUCCGGAAUGAUUGGGCGUAAAGCGUCCGCAGGUGGCUAUGUAAGUCUGCUGUUAAAGAGAGAGGCUCAACCUCAUAAGAGCAGUGGAAACUACAUAGCUAGAGUGCGUUCGGGGCAGAGGGAAUUCCUGGUGUAGCGGUGAAAUGCGUAGAUAUCAGGAAGAACACCGGUGGCGAAAGCGCUCUGCUAGGCCGCAACUGACACUGAGGGACGAAAGCUAGGGGAGCGAAUGGG